AGUGAACGCUGGCGGUAGGCCUAACACAUGCAAGUCGAACGGCAGCACAGUAAGAGCUUGCUCUUACGGGUGGCGAGUGGCGGACGGGUGAGGAAUACAUCGGAAUCUACUUUUUCGUGGGGGAUAAAGUAGGGAAAAUUACGCUAAUACCGCAUACGACCUAAGGGUGAAAGCAGGGGAUCUUCGGCCCUUGCGCGAUUGAAUGAGCCGAUGUCGGAUUAGCUAGUUGGCGGGGUAAAGGCCCACCAAGGCGACGAUCCGUAGCUGGUCUGAGAGGAUGAUCAGCCACACUGGAACUGAGACACGGUCCAGACUCCUACGGGAGGCAGCAGUGGGGAAUAUUGGACAAUGGGCGCAAGCCUGAUCCAGCCAUACCGCGUGGGUGAAGAAGGCCUUCGGGUUGUAAAGCCCUUUUGUUGGGAAAGAAAAGCAGCAGGUUAAUACCCCGCUGUUCUGACGGUACCCAAAGAAUAAGCACCGGCUAACUUCGUG
rnacentral:rRNA from 1 species